rnacentral:lncRNA from 1 species
UAAUUUUAAGACUUUUUUUAUCACAUUAUAGCACACUUAUUUGAGUAAGGGCUAUUCCAGAAAAAAUAGGGGGGGUUGGAAGGCAGUUUUUGUCAGCACCCGCCACCCAGACAAUUGUAAUUGAGAAUUAUAGUGCAUUAUAGUGUGAAAAGUUGCUCUGAUACCCAUCACCCAUGUAUUAUUAAUACAAUGUGCCUUUCAACCCCCCCAUACAUUUUUUUCUGGAAUAGCCCUAAGGUUGAAAUGUGCCACACUAACCAGAGUAUGGUUUGGUCAAUUUACUCCAAAUACAUAAUGUUUACCAGUAAAUACAGAUGUGGACAGGUAAUAAAAGGCCCUUUCUAGUGUGUUCAUGAAAAAUACAUAUAUAGUCUAAUAUAGAUCACCAACAAGUCCAAACUUUUAAUUGUUAUCUUUGUCAAAUGAACAACAUCUAUUAACAC